CGUUGACCAGCACAUGCGCCGUCGGGUGAGUGUAUAGGGCCCUAACCCAUCCCCGCAGGUAUGGUCCCAUUCCCAUGUGUGACAAUGCCUGGAACAUAUACUCCCAACAGACCCUGUCAAAGGCCUUCUCCGCGUCCGUGGAUAGCAGGAGAAGGCCUGUGUCGUCCCCUGAUGUUCUGUGCAUAAUCGUGAGGGCCCUGAUGGUGUCGUCUCUGGCUUCCCGGCCCAUCACAAACCCCACCUGG